rnacentral:tRNA from 1 species
GGGCCCUUAGCUUAGUUGGUAGAGCGCCGCUUUUGCAAAGCGGAGGUCAUCGGUUCGAAUCCGAUAGGGUCCACCA